rnacentral:rRNA from 2 species
CGAACGAACUCUGGUAUUGAUUGGUGCUUGCAUCAUGAUUUACAUUUGACUGAGUGGCGAACUGGUGAGUAACACGUGGGAAACCUGCCCAGAAGCGGGGGAUAACACCUGGAAACAGAUGCUAAUACCGCAUAACAACUUGGACCGCAUGGUCCGAGUUUGAAAGAUGGCUUCGGCUAUCACUUUUGGAUGGUCCCGCGGCGUAUUAGCUAGAUGGUGGGGUAACGGCUCACCAUGGCAAUGAUACGUAGCCGACCUGAGAGGGUAAUCGGCCACAUUGGGACUGAGACACGGCCCAAACUCCUACGGGAGGCAGCAGUAGGGAAUCUUCCACAAUGGACGAAAGUCUGAUGGAGCAACGCCGCGUGAGUGAAGAAGGGUUUCGGCUCGUAAAACUCUGUUGUUAAAGAAGAACAUAUCUGAGAGUAACUGUUCAGGUAUUGACGGUAUUUAACCAGAAAGCCACGGCUAACUACGUGCCAGCAGCCGCGGUAAUACGUAGGUGGCAAGCGUUGUCCGGAUUUAUUGGGCGUAAAGCGAGCGCAGGCGGUUUUUUAAGUCUGAUGUGAAAGCCUUCGGCUCAACCGAAGAAGUGCAUCGGAAACUGGGAAACUUGAGUGCAGAAGAGGACAGUGGAACUCCAUGUGUAGCGGUGAAAUGCGUAGAUAUAUGGAAGAACACCAGUGGCGAAGGCGGCUGUCUGGUCUGUAACUGACGCUGAGGCUCGAAAGUAUGGGUAGCAAACAGGAUUAGAUACCCUGGUAGUCCAUACCGUAAACGAUGAAUGCUAAGUGUUGGAGGGUUUCCGCCCUUCAGUGCUGCAGCUAACGCAUUAAGCAUUCCGCCUGGGGAGUACGGCCGCAAGGCUGAAACUCAAAGGAAUUGACGGGGGCCCGCACAAGCGGUGGAGCAUGUGGUUUAAUUCGAAGCUACGCGAAGAACCUUACCAGGUCUUGACAUACUAUGCAAAUCUAAGAGAUUAGACGUUCCCUUCGGGGACAUGGAUACAGGUGGUGCAUGGUUGUCGUCAGCUCGUGUCGUGAGAUGUUGGGUUAAGUCCCGCAACGAGCGCAACCCUUAUUAUCAGUUGCCAGCAUUAAGUUGGGCACUCUGGUGAGACUGCCGGUGACAAACCGGAGGAAGGUGGGGAUGACGUCAAAUCAUCAUGCCCCUUAUGACCUGGGCUACACACGUGCUACAAUGGAUGGUACAACGAGUUGCGAACUCGCGAGAGUAAGCUAAUCUCUUAAAGCCAUUCUCAGUUCGGAUUGUAGGCUGCAACUCGCCUACAUGAAGUCGGAAUCGCUAGUAAUCGCGGAUCAGCAUGCCGCGGUGAAUACGUUCCCGGGCCUUGUACACACCGCCCGUCACACCAUGAGAGUUUGUAACACCCAAAGUCGGUGGGGUAACCU